rnacentral:rRNA from 1 species
CGACGCUGGCGGCAGGCCUAACACAUGCAAGUCGAACGAACUCUUCGGAGUUAGUGGCGGACGGGUGAGUAACACGUGGGAACGUGCCUUUAGGUUCGGAAUAACUCAGGGAAACUUGUGCUAAUACCGAAUGUGCCCUUCGGGGGAAAGAUUUAUCGCCUUUAGAGCGGCCCGCGUCUGAUUAGCUAGUUGGUGAGGUAAAGGCUUACCAAGGCGACGAUCAGUAGCUGGUCUGAGAGGAUGAUCAGCCACAUUGGGACUGAGACACGGCCCAAACUCCUACGGGAGGCAGCAGUGGGGAAUCUUGCGCAAUGGGCGAAAGCCUGACGCAGCCAUGCCGCGUGAAUGAUGAAGGUCUUAGGAUUGUAAAAUUCUUUCACCGGGGACGAUAAUGACGGUACCCGGAGAAGAAGCCCCGGCUAACUUCGUGCCAGCAGCCGCGGUUA